rnacentral:rRNA from 1 species
GCGCGGAAAGAUGAGCCGACGCCGGAUUAGCUAGUUGGCGGGGUAACGGCCCACCAAGGCGACGAUCCGUAGCUGGUCUGAGAGGAUGAUCAGCCACACUGGGACUGAGACACGGCCCAG